AUUGAACGCUGGCGGCAUGCCUUACACAUGCAAGUCGAACGGCAGCACGUGUGCUUGCACCUGGUGGCGAGUGGCGAACGGGUGAGUAUUACAUCGGAACAUGUCCUGUAGUGGGGGAUAGCCCGGCGAAAGCCGGAUUAAUACCGCAUACGAUCUACGGUUGACAUCGGGGGACCUUCGGGCCUCGCGCUAUAGGGUUGGCCGAUGGCUGAUUAGCUAGUUGGUGGGGUAAAGGCCUACCAAGGCGACGAUCAGUAGCUGGUCUGAGAGGACGACCAGCCACACUGGGACUGAGACACGGCCCAGACUCCUACGGGAGGCAGCAGUGGGGAAUUUUGGACAAUGGGCGAAAGCCUGAUCCAGCAAUGCCGCGUGUGUGAAGAAGGCCUUCGGGUUGUAAAGCACUUUUGUCCGGAAAGAAAUCCUUGGCCCUAAUACGGUCGGGGGAUGACGGUACCGGAAGAAUAAGCACCGGCUAACUACGUG
rnacentral:rRNA from 1 species